AGUGAACGCUGGCGGUAGGCCUAACACAUGCAAGUCGAACGGCAGCACAGAGGAGCUUGCUCCUUGGGUGGCGAGUGGCGGACGGGUGAGGAAUACAUCGGAAUCUACCUUUUCGUGGGGGGUAACGUAGGGAAACUUACGCUAAUACCGCAUACGACCUUCGGGUGAAAGCCGGGGACCUUCGGGCCUGGCGCGGAUAGAUGAGCCGAUGUCGGAUUAGCUAGUUGGCGGGGUAAAAGCCCACCAAGGCGACGAUCCGUAGCUGGUCUGAGAGGAUGAUCAGCCACACUGGAACUGAGACACGGUCCAGACUCCUACGGGAGGCAGCAGUGGGGAAUAUUGGGCAAUGGGCGCAAGCCUGAUCCAGCCAUACCGCGUGGGUGAAGAAGGCCUUCGGGUUGUAAAGCCCUUUUGUUGGGAAAGAAAUCCUGUCGGUUAAUACCCGGUAGGGAUGACGGUACCCAAAGAAUAAGCACCGGCUAACUUCGUGCCAGCCGCCGCAGUAACAC
rnacentral:rRNA from 1 species